UACGUAUGGUGCAAGCGUUAUCCGGAUUUACUGGGUGUAAAGGGUGCGUAGGUGGUAUGGCAAGUCAGAAGUGAAAACUUUGGGCUCAACCCGGAGACUGCUUUUGAAACUGUCAUACUGGAGUGCAGGAGAGGAAAGCGGAAUUCCUAGUGUAGCGGUGAAAUGCGUAGAUAUUAGGAGGAACACCAGUGGCGAAGGCGGCUUUCUGGACUGUUACUGACACUGAGGCACGAAAGCGUGGGGAG
rnacentral:rRNA from 1 species